GAUGGGAGCUUGCUCCCUGAUGUUAGCGGCGGACCUUUGAGUAACACGUGGGUAACCUGCCUGUAAGACUGGGAUAACUCCGGGAAACCGGGGCUAAUACCGGAUGGUUGUUUGAACCGCAUGGUUCAGACAUAAAAGGUGGCUUCGGCUACCACUUACAGAUGGACCCGCGGCGCAUUAGCUAGUUGGUGAGGUAACGGCUCACCAAGGCAACGAUGCGUAGCCGACCUGAGAGGGUGAUCGGCCACACUGGGACUGAGACACGGCCCAGACUCCUACGGGAGGCAGCAGUAGGGAAUCUUCCGCAAUGGACGAAAGUCUGACGGAGCAACGCCGCGUGAGUGAUGAAGGUUUUCGGAUCGUAAAGCUCUGUUGUUAGGGAAGAACAAGUGCCGUUCAAAUAGGGCGGCACCUUGACGGUACCUAACCAGAAAGCCACGGCUAACUACGUGCCAGCAGCCGCGGUAAUACGUAGGUGGCAAGCGUUGUCCGGAAUUAUUGGGCGUAAAGGGCUCGCAGGCGGUUUCUUAAGUCUGAUGUGAAAGCCCCCGGCUCAACCGGGGAGGGUCAUUGGAAACUGGGGAACUUGAGUGCAGAAGAGGAGAGUGGAAUUCCACGUGUAGCGGUGAAAUGCGUAGAGAUGUGGAGGAACACCAGUGGCGAAGGCGACUCUCUGGUCUGUAACUGACGCUGAGGAGCGAAAGCGUGGGGAGCGAACAGGAUUAGAUACCCUGGUAGUCCACGCCGUAAACAAUGGGUGCUAAGUGUUAGGGGGUUUCCG
rnacentral:rRNA from 1 species